rnacentral:lncRNA from 1 species
CUGGCCACAUCCCCAUCUUAUCGCUUUAUCUUCCAUUGAGCAGAGGUUCUGCCAGGUGCAGGGGACAAGGGAGAAGAAAAGACACGCACAUUCUCCUGGGCUUCAAAGUUGUCCCAUCCUUCUGUGAUGUCAUAAUCUGAGCCAUAGCCCACAAAUGUGAACUCCAACAACCCCCAAACCCAGUCCUCACCUCCCACAUGCUUUUCAUCACCCGCUCUCACAUCCCAUCUGGGGCCUCUGCUUCCAUCCUACCAUUUCGCAAGCCUGGCCAACUCAAGCUCCGUGUGCUGCACCUAGAGCAGCCCAUCUCUGUGUCAGGGAGGUGAGCUGCUCAGUUGCCAGAGUAUCAACCUGAGCCCAGGACACUGCCAGACUGCUGAGUCAAAGAGGGUUUAGCAGCCCAUUUUCAUAGACAGACAGGUGAGAGGAGGAUGCUGGACAUGGUCCCAGAGACAUGGGGACUCAAGAAACAUGAAGAUCUGUUCACAGCUAAGGGCACAUUUCCAUGCCGAGAAAUCAGGCGUGAGCGCAAGAGUCCUAUCGUCUACCAGAAAAAGAAAUCUUUGGGAGCAUUCAAGGAGGAAUGGCUUCAUGAUGGCAAUGAGCGGCAUCGCCUGAAAGACAGCCUUCGAGAGUCUCCCAGAGCCGCUGAGGAGCAAGGCACUACCUGCUCUCACUCUUCUGUUAUCUUCAACCCAUCUUCUUUGCCCUAAACUCCUAGGCUCCCCCACCUACAUUCCACCAUAUUGAAGGGCUUACCUGUCUGGUGCCAGCAAAGACAGAGGUGAGCUGGUAUUAUGAAG